CUCCUGUGCCUGCUGACCUUGAAGUGUGGUUAAGUGGACAACGGGUAGAGGAUCUUGCUAAAAGCAAUUCCUGCCAGUUAGGGUAGAAGAUACAGAAGAUCCUCUACCCGCAGUCUGCAGCUUGGCCACAUUACAAGGUCAGCAGGCACAGGAG